rnacentral:rRNA from 1 species
ACGGGGUGCAGCAGGCGCGAAAACUUUACAAUGCUGGGAACAGCGAUAAGGGAACCUCGAGUGCCAGGUUACAAAUCUGGCUGUCGUGAUGCCUAAAAAGCAUUAUAUAGCAAGGGCCGGGCAAGACCGGUGCCAGCCGCCGCGGUAACACCGGCGGCUCGAGUGGUAACCGUUAUUAUUGGGUCUAAAGGGUCUGUAGCCGGCCGGAUAAGUCUCUUGGGAAAUCUGGCAGCUCAACUGUCAGGCUUUCAGGGGAUACUGUCUGGCUCGAGGCCGGGAGAGGUGAGAGGUACUUCAGGGGUAGGGGUGAAAUCUUGUAAUCCUUGAAGGACCACCAGUGGCGAAGGCGUCUCACCAGAACGGACCUGACGGCAAGGGACGAAAGCUAGGGGCACGAACCGGAUUAGAUACCCGGGUAGUCCUAGCCGUAAACGAUACUCGCUAGGUGUCGGCCACGGUGCGACCGUUGUCGGUGCCGUAGGGAAGCCGUGAAGCGAGCCACCUGGGAAGUACGGCCGCAAGGCUGAAACUUAAAGGAAUUGGCGGGGGAGCACCACAACGGGUGGAGCUUGCGGUUUAAUUGGAUUCAACGCCGGAAAUCUUACCGGGA